rnacentral:rRNA from 1 species
GGUUAAGCGACUAAGCGUACACGGUGGAUGCCCUGGCAGUCAGAGGCGAUGAAGGACGUGCUAAUCUGCGAUAAGCGUCGGUAAGGUGAUAUGAACCGUUAUAACCGGCGAUUUCCGAAUGGGGAAACCCAGUGUGUUUCGACACACUAUCAUUAACUGAAUCCAUAGGUUAAUGAGGCGAACCGGGGGAACUGAAACAUCUAAGUACCCCGAGGAAAAGAAAUCAACCGAGAUUCCCCCAGUAGCGGCGAGCGAACGGGGAGCAGCCCAGAGCCUGAAUCAGUAUGUGUGUUAGUGGAAGCGUCUGGAAAGGCGCGCGAUACAGGGUGACAGCCCCGUACACAAAAAUGCACAUAUUGUGAGCUCGAUGAGUAGGGCGGGACACGUGGUAUCCUGUCUGAAUAUGGGGGGACCAUCCUCCAAGGCUAAAUACUCCUGACUGACCGAUAGUGAACCAGUACCGUGAGGGAAAGGCGAAAAGAACCCCGGCGAGGGGAGUGAAAAAGAACCUGAAACCGUGUACGUACAAGCAGUGGGAGCACGCUUAGGCGUGUGACUGCGUACCUUUUGUAUAAUGGGUCAGCGACUUAUAUUCUGUAGCAAGGUUAACCGAAUAGGGGAGCCGAAGGGAAACCGAGUCUUAACUGGGCGUUAAGUUGCAGGGUAUAGACCCGAAACCCGGUGAUCUAGCCAUGGGCAGGUUGAAGGUUGGGUAACACUAACUGGAGGACCGAACCGACUAAUGUUGAAAAAUUAGCGGAUGACUUGUGGCUGGGGGUGAAAGGCCAAUCAAACCGGGAGAUAGCUGGUUCUCCCCGAAAGCUAUUUAGGUAGCGCCUCGUGAAUUCAUCUCCGGGGGUAGAGCACUGUUUCGGCAAGGGGGUCAUCCCGACUUACCAACCCGAUGCAAACUGCGAAUACCGGAGAAUGUUAUCACGGGAGACACACGGCGGGUGCUAACGUCCGUCGUGAAGAGGGAAACAACCCAGACCGCCAGCUAAGGUCCCAAAGUCAUGGUUAAGUGGGAAACGAUGUGGGAAGGCCCAGACAGCCAGGAUGUUGGCUUAGAAGCAGCCAUCAUUUAAAGAAAGCGUAAUAGCUCACUGGUCGAGUCGGCCUGCGCGGAAGAUGUAACGGGGCUAAACCAUGCACCGAAGCUGCGGCAGCGACACUAUGUGUUGUUGGGUAGGGGAGCGUUCUGUAAGCCUGUGAAGGUGUGCUGUGAGGCAUGCUGGAGGUAUCAGAAGUGCGAAUGCUGACAUAAGUAACGAUAAAGCGGGUGAAAAGCCCGCUCGCCGGAAGACCAAGGGUUCCUGUCCAACGUUAAUCGGGGCAGGGUGAGUCGACCCCUAAGGCGAGGCCGAAAGGCGUAGUCGAUGGGAAACAGGUUAAUAUUCCUGUACUUGGUGUUACUGCGAAGGGGGGACGGAGAAGGCUAUGUUGGCCGGGCGACGGUUGUCCCGGUUUAAGCGUGUAGGCUGGUUUUCCAGGCAAAUCCGGAAAAUCAAGGCUGAGGCGUGAUGACGAGGCACUACGGUGCUGAAGCAACAAAUGCCCUGCUUCCAGGAAAAGCCUCUAAGCAUCAGGUAACAUCAAAUCGUACCCCAAACCGACACAGGUGGUCAGGUAGAGAAUACCAAGGCGCUUGAGAGAACUCGGGUGAAGGAACUAGGCAAAAUGGUGCCGUAACUUCGGGAGAA